rnacentral:rRNA from 1 species
CCCAGUCAUAAAUUUCAUUAAUGAUCCUUCUUCCGUAGGUGAACCUGCGGAAGGAUCAUUA